CCUACGGGAGGCAGCAGUGGGGAAUAUUGCACAAUGGGCGAAAGCCUGAUGCAGCAACGCCGCGUGAGCGAUGAAGGCUUUCGGGACGUAAAGCUCUGUCCUCAAGGAAGAUAAUGACGGUACUUGACGAGGAAGCCCCGGCUAACUACGUGCCAGCAGCCGCGAUAAUAGGUAGGGGGCUAGCGUUAUCCGGAAUUACUGGGCGUAAAGGGUGCGUAGGUGGUUUCUUAAGUCCGUGGUGAAAGGCUAGGGCCAAACCGGGAUAAGCCUUUGAAACUGGGGAACUUGAGUGCAGGAGAGGAGAGCGGAAUUCCUGGUGUAGCGGUGAAAUGCGUAGAUAUCAGGAGGAACACCAGUUGCGAAGGCGGCUCGCUGGACUGUAACUGACGCUGAGGCACGAAAGCGUGGGGAGCAAACAGGAUUAGAUACCCCAGUAGUC
rnacentral:rRNA from 1 species